CAGGAUGACGUCAUACAGCGUGCGGCCCUGCACGUUCAGGAAGUGGGCGUAGGCCGCGCGCGCAGGGGGCGUUGCCGCGCCUACCCCGGGACCCGGAAGUGGCAGCUCAUUGGUCAGCAGCCCCAGCAGAAAGGGCGCCGCGUCCGGGCCGCGCACGCGCAGCAGGGAACGCUCGUCUAGCAGGAAACACGCCCAAGCCGCACCGUCCGCAUGGUCGCCUCCAAGACGGCUAGAGCUAUGGGCCAGGCGGCGCCUCGGGGCCGCGUGCAGCCGCCAGCGCCAGGUCGGGCCGCCGCGUCCCGGAGCCGCGCCCCGGAGCAACGCCGCGACCGCCAUCUUGGGCAGGAGUGAGGCGGCGGGAGGGCAGGCGCCACAGCGGCCCCUGGCGGCAGCCGCCGGCAGAAAGGGGCGGGCGGAGCGUGUGCGCGUGAGGAUUCUUUUACCGUGGUGACGUGUCUGUCGUCGUAACCACGCUGAGCCUCCCAUCGGUGCCGCCGAGCGCAUCCUGGCGCUCCUCCUUCCCAGGGGCCUCCUGCGAUGCCCCGCACGUGGCCGCCCUCCGUGCUGCCUGGCCCGGGGCGCGGGGCUCGCCGGUUCCUGCGGUGGCGGGAUGUGUCGGACCCCGCGCCUUGCCGUCUGCCCAGGCUGGGCUCGCGCCUGCUCUCCGCGUCCCACCUGCGUGUCUGUGGCGAGUGUCAGGUCCAGGGCUCGGCCUCCGUGCAGCCGUUUUAUGAACCAGUCUCACUUCCUGCCCCAGGGAGGUGCUUGCAGAGCCCCCAUCACCACCUGCUGACCGACCUCGCCGGGUGUCUCCCCUGCCCGCCGCCCACCGCGGCCAGCUGGUGCGAGCUCGUGCAGGCAGCCCAGACCGGCCCUGCAAAAUACCCAGCUGAGUUCUCCCUGCCGCUCACUCCGAGCGAUGGCCUUUGUCAGCUCCUGCCUGACAAGUAAAGCUUCUUAACUGUGGGUUUCUUUGCCCGGUUUCUGUGUUGCGUGCGUGUUUGUUUCCUCGUGAGCACCACGCCUGGCAGAACUUUCGUCCUUUCUGAAGUUGAAUCAUAUCUCACUGUUUGAGUAGAUCACGUUUUGUCCCCCUUUCCUCCAUCAGUGGCCUCUUGGGUUGCUUUCACCUCUGUCCGCAGUGAACACGGGUGGACAGACAGGUAUCUCUUCGAGAACCUGCUUUGAAUUCUCUGGGGUGUGUUCCCAGAGGUGGGCUUGUCGGGUCCUAUGAGGGUUCGUGCUGAGUUACCUGAGAAGCUGCCCACCUGUUUCCUAGAGAGCCCUGUCAUUUGGCUACUGUAACAAAGUACCUAGCCGCCUGUGGGGGCGUCAAACUCGCUUUCUUGUCUGGAAGCUCUGGAGGCCGAAUCUCCAGGUGAGUGUCAGGAGGCCUCUCUGACUUGGUGUGACUUGCGUGUCCUCACAUGAUUGUCACUCUGAGUCUGUCUUGAUUGGUGUCACAGGACACCAAUCCUGUGGGAUCAAGGUCUGCUGCAGUGACCACAUUAACCUAAUCACUUCCUUUAGUCCAGUACUGGCCCACUGAGGUCAAGGACCGCGGUGGACUGAGGUUCCGCGGUAGAGCCACCCAUCCUGGGAGGCUUGCAAGGAGCAGGCGUGCCGCUGCCUGUCCUGGAGGCAGGACGCCCAAGGUCUCUGCAGGGCAGGCUGCCGUCCAGGAGGGCUGCUCCCGGGGGUCCUCACACGGAGGAGCAGGGACUCUGGGCCCCUGGUGCAGACUCAUCCCGUCACCAGGCUCCCCUCUGUGACCUGUGACCCCGUCACAUCCAGGCGGCCCCACCUGACAGCGCGGCCUGGGGAGAGGCUUCCGUCUCGCCUCCAGGCUGAGGCCGCACAGCCCACUGCAGGUGUUUCCAGUGUCCUGUGCUGACCCCCCGCUCACCACCAGCAGGAGCGUCGGCUGUCCCUCUGUCCCCGUGGCCCGCCUCUAGCUGCCUGGCCUUCUCCACAGUCUCUCGUUCUGCUCUUUGGGUCCUGGUGAUGUCGGCUGCAGUGCAGGGCACCAUCCCCAGACCGGAGGGUGACCCGGCACCUCCCUGCUGUCCUGUUCGAAGAACGGAAGCCGGGCUGGACAGCGCUGGCAGGGGCAGCACCCAGGGCUGGGGUCACGUUCCUCAGGCCUCAUGUCAGUCCGUCUCUGGCCAGCAGCAGCACCAGCAGGAAGGGCACACAGGCAGCCCAUCCGGCCUGUCAGCUGGUGACCAGGCCCAGCCCUGGUGGCCAGCCAGGACCUGCUGGGCUGUUGAGAUACAGGCCCUUCUAGGAAAGAAGUCUGCCUCUGCAAGACCAGGCGUGGGCUUCUCCAGGGAGCCGUUCCGGAGUCUCUGAAGCAGCUGGUCAGCGUGACCACAGCAGCCCCUGGGCUCCCGAGUGAGGCUUCAGGCCGGCCACAGCAGGGGUGCAAGAGCUGGGAACAUGGCCGGCCUGCGUUCCAGCCCAGUUUCCCCAGGUAGUUAUGGUUUCCUGUUUUCCAUGGCUUCCUCCCUCCCAGGGGAAGCAGGAAGGAGCUGCCCCAUUCUAGGGAUGCCUCUGAACAUGGCCCUGCCCCCAGCCCUCUGCAAACUCCCCCUGCAGCGACCAGUUGGCUGAGGCUGUGGAAACAGAUGAGGCCAGGCAUUCCAGUCUGAUCCUGCUCCAGGGCCUGCCCCACAUCCCACCAACCCCUGGACAGUGUCCAGGCUCAGCCUGAUGCCCUUGUGGCCAUCCCAGGGAGAUAGGGAAACUGAGGCACAGAGCGUGUGGUCUUCAGGAGCCAAGUGGCUUGUCUUGUGGUACUGGGACUCGAACCCAGACCCUGCGCGUGCUCAGCUGACCCUCUGCCACUGAGCUGCACCCAGAGCCCUUUUAUUCUGAGACAAGGUCUGCCCCCAGCCUCCCAGGUAGCUGGGGUCACAGGCUGUACCCCUGCGCGGUGGCCGAGUGCCAGGCAGCAGGCAGUCUGGGGGUCUCCCUGGGACCUGGGAGACCAGACCCCUCAGUGUCGGCCUCCUACGCCAUUUCCUGCGAGGGGCUCGCUCAGGCUGGAGGCCAUUGUUCUGUCCAGAGAGUGGAGGAUGUGGCCUUGGAGGUGGGACCUGCAGAUGGCAUGGAGGCAGGGCCAGCAAGGGUGCUCCUGAUGGGAGGAUGGGGCCGCAAGACCCAGUGACCACAGUGAAGUGCUCACAGAACUGACGGGGCAGUGGCCCCUCGGUCCCCAGGUCUGUGGGAAGAGAGGGCCAUCACCUAGGGCCCCUUCGUCCCGCCUCCACGCCAUGGAGCGCUCAGCUGGGCACACACCUCCCGGUACGGGCAGUUGCCUGAAGUCCAGCCCCGGGACCUCAGGACGAGGCCUCCAAGGAAGGGCUUAAGGCUCCAGCUGACGGGUGCGGUGAGCUGGAGAUCUGAGAGGAACAGAACCAACAGCGAUCUGGAGAAGUGCCGCUCUCACUAUGGACGUUACCUCGUGCCGCUAGGCCGCGGGGGCCCAGGUGCCGAUGAUUGUAUUCUUCAUAAAGAACAGAAGGCAGGACCAGAGGCUGCCCACCCAAAGAAAUACUCAAGGAGGUGGGUACGCCAGUUACCCUGACUUAUCACUAUACCUGUAGACAUCUGUGUCAAUUAAAAAUAA